CUCAAUUUCAAGAACGGAGGCCGGAAUCCAGCGGUCUCGAGACCGGCGGUGGCCGGCGCAGCGACAACGGCGGCGGGAAACCAGCCGAGGCAAUGGUCGCUUCUCUCAAACUUGACGGCGCGGAGGAUGGAGGAUAUCCGGACGGGGAAGAUUAUUGGACGUGGCACUGAACGCCGUGGGCUCUAUUUUGUAGAUGAGAUUUCUCGACAAGAUGGUGCGGCGAUGCUUGCUCACGGACCCACCACUCAGGAGACUUGGCUCUGGCACCGAAGAAUGGGUCACACUUCUCCGGGUUAUCUAAAAUCUUUAUUUCCUAAACUUUUUGUUCC